ensembl:snRNA U6 U6 spliceosomal RNA
GUGCUCGCUUCGGCCACACAUAUGCUAAAAUUGGAACAAUGUAUAGAAGAUUAGCGUGGCCCCUGAGCAAGGAUGACAUGCAAAUUCGUGACGCAUUCCAUAUUUUU